AUUGAACGCUGGCGGCAGGCCUAACACAUGCAAGUCGCACGAGUGGCGGACGGGUGAGUAAUGUAUGGGAAACUGCCUGAUGGAGGGGGAUAACUACUGGAAACGGUAGCUAAUACCGCAUAACAUCGGCUGUGCCAAGAUGGGAUUAGCUAGGAGGGGGGGUAAAGGCUCACCUAGGCGCCGGUCCCUAGCUGGGCUGAGAGGAUGACCAUCCACACUGGAACUGAGACACGGUCCAGCCUCCUACGGGAGGCAGCAGUGGGGAAUAUUGGACAAUGGGCGAAAGCCUGAUCCAGCCAUGCCGCGUGUGUGAAGAAGUUCUUCGGAUUGUAAAGCACUUUAAUUUGGGAGGCGUUACCAACAGAAUAAGCACCGGCUAACUUCGUGCCAGCAGCCGCGGUAAUUC
rnacentral:rRNA from 1 species